AAGUCAUUACCAUGUGGCUACCCUUUAAGGAGCAACCAGAACCACUAAGACCAAAAGAGAAUCCUGACAUCUGGUGAGGUGAAGGAGGAGGGCCCUAGUACCUUUAUUUGUGGGUAGAACUGGGCUUCUGUGACCUGAAAAUCUAAGGACCAAACAUCAACUUUACAAUAAAGAACCUGAGCUCUGGUAGAAGAGAGACAAUGGUUACUUCUUUUCAUGGAUUCUAAAUUCUAUCUGCCAGUCACUUUUCAUGUGUGCAUUCAUUGGUGUACAGAAUGGAAUUACAGAGGCAGAAGAAAAUGAGGUGUCUGCCAAAUUGAUAGUUUAAAAAACAUUUUAAUGGCCUACUUAACUGUAAUUUGUUUCAGUUUUAAACAGGAAAAACCUCAGCAUGUAAGCAAAGCAGACUGGACUUGAACAGAUAUGGAAUGCAAAGCACACAGGAGAGUCAUGGGGGUCCUGAAGAGCGAUUAGAAGUUGUUAUGCGAUGAACAACAUUGCAUUGGAGACAGAAUGGAUUAAAUUAAACAGUAGUGCAUAUCACUUGGCUAAAAUGACAGGAGUAAAGAACAGAAUGCAUCCACUCCUCCAGCCUCAUUAAGCUGCCUCUUUCUCCUGAAAUUAGAUUGGGAUUCCAGGACACCUCUCAACCUACAGGAAACACUGGAUCUAAGCUGAAACAGGCUUUUAAAAAGAUUUGCACAAUACAUCCUUCAUAUUGUUAUUUUUAUCUCUGUAAGUUUGUAAUGGCCUCUAAAAAAAAAAAGCUGUGUAACAAGAGCAUCAGAUGUUACUUUGCUCACUGUUGAAGGCUGUGAAGAACAGAAGAAAACUAGGAAGAAAACCAAGCUGGGAAGGGCAAUGAAGGAAUGAGUUAGAGUUCAAAAGUAAAAGUAUGUUCCAUAUAAAAGAAAGAGUUCACGUACGUGAGUCAGCAGCAAUGCAAGGGUAUGAGAUGUGCUUUUAGAGAGAAUUGAACUUGUCAAUGUGACUCAGCUCUGGAAGACUAA